CAAUAGUCAAUACGGUUUCCGGAAGUCAAAAUCUACAAUAGACAAUUUAGCUAUAUUAACCACAGAUAUUCGCUUAGCUUUUUCGCGCGAUGAAGAUAUUGUAGCUGCCUUUUUAGACAUCGCUGCCGCUUAUGAUAAUGUGAACAUUUCUAUUUUACAACGCAAAUUAUUAGAGCUACAGGUUCCUACAUUAUUAAUACAUUUUAUCAUCAAUUUACUAUCCUGCAGAUACAUAUCAUUAAUCGUUCAGAAAGACGGUAAUACUACUGAGUUAAAGCGUACAGUUUUUAAAGGCCUUCCCCAAGGUUCAGUACUUAGCCCACUUUUAUAUAACAUUUAUACAUAUGAUUUAGAAUCAUCUUUAUAUUCCCACAUAAAUGUGCUACAAUAUGCAGAUGAUUUGCUUUUUUAUUCCGUAAAUAAAUCUAUAGAUAUCGCUUGCAAUUUCAUGUCUAAUUCACUUAAUAGUUUAAAUGUGUGGUUAGUUAAAAAUGACUUAAAUGUAUCCGUAUCCAAAAGUUCAAUAGUCGUAUUUUCUAAAAAACGUACAACUCCUGUCAUAAAUGUGACCUUCAAUGGUCAAUCUCUGCCAUAUCAAACAAAAAUUAAAUUUUUAGGAGUUAUAUUAGAUUCAAAAUUGUCUGGACUUGCCCAUUAUGAACAUAUUAAUAUGAAAUGUGCACAGUUACUUAAUAUCAUGAAAUGCCUCUCAGGUGUAUGGUGGGGUGCUCAUCCGUUUUCUAUGAAACUUGUGUAUAACGCUCUUCUCCGGAUAUAAGAUAUGAUAUAGGUGUCGGUAAACAAGAUAUUCUGGAGACAAAUAUUCGUUUCAUGAGUAGCGUUGAGGAACAAAAUUGGAGUGGAUGGGAUUAUAUUUUUACAGAUGCCUCUAAAAUCUCUAAUGAUGAUUGUGUUGGAGUCGGUCUAGUUCAUUGGCAACAUAAAAUAAUACAAAAGAUUAAACUUCCUCCUGAA